UGACAGAGGGAGACCCUGUCUCACAAAAAUAAAAAAGGGGAGGGAGAACUAAUCAAAGGACACGAUCAGAAGAGUGAGAAUUGGAAGUAGACAUUUGAAAUUCACAUAUAUAAGGAUUAAUAUCCAGAACACAUUAAGAAUUCCUGUGACUCUCUUUCCCAUCUUGCAAGAUGGCGGGUGAAAAAGUUGAGAAGCCGGAUACUAAAGAGAAGAAACCUGAAGCCAAGAAGGCUGAUGCUGGUGGCAGAGUGAAAAAGGGUAACCUCAAGGCUAAAAAGCCCGAGAAGGGGAAGCCCCAUUGCAGCCGCAGUCCUGUUCUUGUCAGAGGAAUUGGCAGGUAUUUCCGAUCUGCCAUGUAUUCCAGAAAGGCCAUGUACAAGAGGAAGUACUCAGCGGCUAAAUCCAAGAUUGAAAAGAGAAAGGAGAAGGUUCUUGCAACUGUUACAAAACGUGGUGGUGACAAAAACAGCGGUACCCGGGUGGCUAAACUUCGCAAAAUGCCUAGGUAUUAUCCUAGUGAAGAUGUGCCUCGAGCUGUCGAGCCACAGCAAAAAACCCUUCAGUCAGCAUGUGAGAAAACUGCGAGCCAGCAUCACCCCCAGGACCACUCUGAUCAUCCUCACUGGAGCCACAGGGGCAAGAGGGUGGUUUUCCUGAAGCAGCUGGCCAGUGGCUUGUUACUUGUGACUGGACCUCUGGUCCUCAAUCAAGUUCCUUUGCGAAGAACGCACCAGAAAUUUGUCAUUGCCACCUCAACCAAAACUGGUAUCAGCAAUGUAAAAAUCCCGAAACAUCUUACUGAUGCUUACUUCAAGAAGCAGCAGCUGCGGAAGCCCAGACACCAGAAAGAUGAGAUCUUCGAUGCAGAAAAAGAGAAAUAUGAGAUUACAGAGGAGCACAAGAUUGAUCAGAAAGCUGUGUACUCACAAAUUUUACCAAAAAUCAAAGCUAUUCCUCAGCUCCAGGGCCACCUGUGAUCUGUGUUUGCCCUGACAAAUGGAAUUUAUCCUCACAAAUUGGUAUUUUAA